CAGCAGCCGCGGGAAUACGAAGGGUGCAAGCGUUAAUCGGAAUUACUGGGCGUAAAGCGUGCGUAGGCGGUGAGUUAAGUCUGCUGUGAAAUCCCCGGGCUCAACCUGGGAAUGGCAGUGGAUACUGGCUCGCUAGAGUGUGUCAGAGGAUGGUGGAAUUCCCGGUGUAGCGGUGAAAUGCGUAGAGAUCGGGAGGAACAUCAGUGGCGAAGGCGGCCAUCUGGGACAACACUGACGCUGAGGCACGAAAGCGUGGGGAGCAAACAGGAUUAGAUACCCGAGAGUCCCUGUCUCUUAUACA
rnacentral:rRNA from 1 species